GCUCCUAUAGUUCAAUGGAUAGAACAAUAGCCUCCUAAGCUGUAGAUCCGGGUUCGAUCCCCGGUGGGGGUA
rnacentral:tRNA from 1 species